rnacentral:rRNA from 1 species
UACGUAGGGUGCAAGCGUUACUCGGAAUUACUGGGCGUAAAGCGUGCGCAGGCGGUUUUGCAAGACAGAUGUGAAAUCCCCGGGCUCAACCUGGGAACUGCAUUUGUGACUGCAUGGCUAGAGUGCGGCAGAGGGGGAUGGAAUUCCGCGUGUAGCAGUGAAAUGCGUAGAUAUGCGGAGGAACACCGAUGGCGAAGGCAAUCCCCUGGGCCUGCACUGACGCUCAUGCACGAAAGCGUGGGGAGCAAACAGG